AUUCGCGGCCUAUCAGCUUGUUGGUGGGGUAACGGCCCACCAAGGCUUCGACGGGUAGCCGGCCUGAGAGGGUGACCGGCCACACUGGGACUGAGACACGGCCCAGACUCCUACGGGAGGCAGCAGUGGGGAAUAUUGGACAAUGGGCGAAAGCCUGAUCCAGCAACGCCGCGUGAGGGAUGACGGCCUUCGGGUUGUAAACCUCUUUCAGCGCAGACGAAGCGAAAGUGACGGUAUGCGCAGAAGAAGCACCGGCCAACUACGUGCCAGCAGCCGCGGUAAUACGUAGAGUGCGAGCGUUGUCCGGAAUUAUUGGGCGUAAAGGGCUCGUAGGCGGUUUGUCGCGUCAGGAGUGAAAACUCGGGGCUCAACCCCGAGCCUGCUUCUGAUACGGGCAGACUAGAGGUAUGCAGGGGAGAACGGAAUUCCUGGUGUAGCGGUGAAAUGCGCAGAUAUCAGGAGGAACACCGGUGGCGAAGGCGGUUCUCUGGGCAUUACCUGACGCUGAGGAGCGAAAGUGUGGGGAGCGAACAGGAUUAGAUACCCUGGUAGUCCACACCGUAAACGUUGGGCGCUAGGUGUGGGACUCAUUCCACGAGUUCCGUGCCGCAGCUAACGCAUUAAGCGCCCCGCCUGGGGAGUACGGAAU
rnacentral:rRNA from 1 species